AUCCAGCUGACGAGUCCCGAAUCGAACGAAAUACGCAUCCUGGAU
rfam:Schistosoma curassoni strain Dakar, Senegal genome assembly, scaffold: SCTD_scaffold0001411